rnacentral:misc_RNA from 1 species
ACCUCUUGAUUAUCAGGACUGAUAAACGUCAGGAAGCUGAAGACCUACACUUGCAGCUGAUUUUCCUAGUAUUCUUUUCAUUUCAUCUGAUCUAUCCACAGCAAUGUUGUAAGAAAAUAACAACUCCUGCAAAAUCAUUAAUGCGAUUUCAAAAUGAAGUAUAACAAUAAGAUAAUUUUCAACCUAAAUUAUAAAAUUAGAGGAACAAGUAAAACUAUUAUGUGUUUGCUAGUAGGAAAAUCUAUGAAAGCCACAUAACAGGGGGAAAAAACUACAUCACAUACCAAAACCAAUUACCAACAGUUGGUGUUUCUCAGUCUCUUGAUUAUUUUGAGGACAUGGAGAUGGAAAUUUUUAAUAUCAUCAAUCUUAUGACAGAAAGAAUUAACAUUACAUUACUCCCAUAUAGUGUGACGAAGAUCUCAUUGGCCAGCCAGAUAAAAAAGAAGACAACUACCAAUUCAAUGCCACUUAAAACCAUGCAAUGUAAUAUAUUUGACCAUAUCAAAAUUCUCUUUCACAUAAAACCAGAGAACAAAACAAUAUAAGAACUCUAGAGCAAUGAAAGAGAGCAUUACCUU